GUAGUACUCCCUCCGUUCGGAAUUACUUGUCACAAAAAUGGAUGUAUAUACAACUAAAAUACAUCUAGAUACAUUCAUUUCUUGGACGAGUAAUUCCGAACGAAGGGAGUAUGUA
rnacentral:pre_miRNA from 1 species